rnacentral:rRNA from 1 species
AACGAACGCUGGCGGCAUGCCUAACACAUGCAAGUCGAACGGGACCUUCGUGCCUAGGUGCGCACGGGGGCUUAACACGGGGUGAGCUGCCCGUAGGUUCGCAGUAACUCACCGAAGGGUGUGCUAAUACCGCAUGGGGUAUUCGGGCCAAAGAGUUAUGGCCGUUGGGUGGGCGCUGGUUAGAUUAGGUGGUUGGUAGUGGACUAGCAUACCAACGGCAUGAUGCAUAGCUGGUCUGAGAGGAUGAUACGGCACGAUGGGAAUAAGACACGGACCAGACUGCUACGGGACGCAGCAGUAGGGAGUACUGGAGGAUGAGGCAAAGUCUGAUACAGCAAUGCCGCGUGAGUGAUGAAGCGCUUAGGAUUGUAAAGCCCUCUUACCCGGGACGAUAAUGACAGUACUGGGAGAAUAAGCACCGGCUAACUACGUG